AAACAUGAGUGGUCUGCUUAUAUUUUGUUAUUCUUUAUUUAUGCAGAUUUAAGUUUAUAUUAUGGCUUUUUUAUUUUCACUACAUAAUACUAUAAAUAAAAAUAUGUUGAUCGAUCUUAACUAUGUGGAUUAGUCGAGGAACUUGCAAGUUAGGUUCGUAUCGGAGAAGAACUUCGAUGUUCUGGAUAUUUCUGAUCUUGGGAUGGUCAUUAAUAAUGAGAAGGCA
rnacentral:lncRNA from 1 species